AGAGACAGCAGUAGCCGCGGGAAUACGUAGGUCCCGAGCGUUGUCCGGAUUUAUUGGGCGUAAAGCGAGCGCAGGCGGUUAGAUAAGUCUGAAGUUAAAGGCUGUGGCUUAACCAUAGUACGCUUUGGAAACUGUUUAACUUGGGUGCAAGAGGGGAGAGUGGAAUUCCAUGUGUAGCGGUGAAAUGCGUAGAUAUAUGGAGGAACACCGGUGGCGAAAGCGGCGCUCUGGCUUGUAACUGACGCUGAGGCUCGAAAGCGUGGGGAGCAAACAGGAUUAGAUACCCCUGUAGUCCCUGUCUCUUAUACA
rnacentral:rRNA from 1 species